rnacentral:rRNA from 1 species
AGAGUUUGAUCAUGGCUCAGAUUGAACGCUGGCGGCAGGCUUAACACAUGCAAGUCGAGCGGGGAAAGGUAGCUUGCUACCUAACCUAGCGGCGGACGGGUGAGUAAUGCUUAGGAAUCUGCCUAUUAGUGGGGGACAACAUCUCGAAAGGGAUGCUAAUACCGCAUACGUCCUACGGGAGAAAGCAGGGGACCUUCGGGCCUUGCGCUAAUAGAUGAGCCUAAGUCGGAUUAGCUAGUUGGUGGGGUAAAGGCCUACCAAGGCGACGAUCUGUAGCGGGUCUGAGAGGAUGAUCCGCCACACUGGGACUGAGACACGGCCCAGACUCCUACGGGAGGCAGCAGUGGGGAAUAUUGGACAAUGGGGGGAACCCUGAUCCAGCCAUGCCGCGUGUGUGAAGAAGGCCUUUUGGUUGUAAAGCACUUUAAGCGAGGAGGAGGCUACCGAGAUUAAUACUCUUGGAUAGUGGACGUUACUCGCAGAAUAAGCACCGGCUAACUCUGUGCCAGCAGCCGCGGUAAUACAGAGGGUGCAAGCGUUAAUCGGAUUUACUGGGCGUAAAGCGCGCGUAGGUGGCCAAUUAAGUCAAAUGUGAAAUCCCCGAGCUUAACUUGGGAAUUGCAUUCGAUACUGGUUGGCUAGAGUAUGGGAGAGGAUGGUAGAAUUCCAGGUGUAGCGGUGAAAUGCGUAGAGAUCUGGAGGAAUACCGAUGGCGAAGGCAGCCAUCUGGCC